rnacentral:rRNA from 1 species
GGAAUAUUGGACAAUGGGCGAAAGCCUGAUCCAGCAAUGCCGCGUGAGUGAUGAAGGCCUUAGGGUUGUAAAGCUCUUUUACCCGGGAUGAUAAUGACAGUACCGGGAGAAUAAGCUCCGGCUAACUCCGUGCCAGCAGCCGCGGUAAUACGGAGGGAGCUAGCGUUGUUCGGAAUUACUGGGCGUAAAGCGCACGUAGGCGGCGCCGCAAGUCAGGGGUGAAAUCCCGGGGCUCAACCCCGGAACUGCCCUUGAAACUGCAGUGCUAGAAUCCUGGAGAGGCGAGUGGAAUUCCGAGUGUAGAGGUGAAAUUCGUAGAUAUUCGGAAGAACACCAGUGGCGAAGGCGGCCAGCUGGACCAGUUCUGACGCUGAGACGCGAAAGCGUGGGGAGCAAAC